GAUGAACGCUAGCUACAGGCUUAACACAUGCAAGUCGAGGGACCGGCGCACGGGUGAGUAACACGUAUCCAACCUGCCCUUUACUCGGGGAUAGCCUUUCGAAAGAAAGAUUAAUACCCGAUAUAAAGGAUGGGGAUGCGUUCCAUUAGGUUGUUGGUGAGGUAAGGGCUCACCAAGCCUUCGAUGGAUAUGGGUUCUGAGAGGAAGGUCCCUCACUGUGGAACUUGGACACGAUCCAAACUCCUACGGGAGGCAGCAGUGAUGAAUAUGUGUCAAUGGGCGCUAGCCUGAACCAGCCAAGUAGCGUGAAGGAUGAACGCUUAUGUGUCGUAAACUUCUUUUAGAUAAGAAUAUGUAUUAUAUGAAUAAGGAUCGGCUAACUCCGUGCCAGCAGCCGCGGUAAUAC
rnacentral:rRNA from 1 species